CGGGGGGAGCAAGCGUUGUUCGGAUUUACUGGGCGUAAAGGGCGCGUAGGCGGCCACCGCAAGUCGGUUGUGAAAUCUCCGGGCUUAACCCGGAAAGGUCAAUCGAUACUGCGGGGCUAGAGUGCGGAAGGGGCAACUGGAAUUCUCGGUGUAGCGGUGAAAUGCGUAGAUAUCGAGAGGAACACCUGCGGCGAAGGCGGGUUGCUGGGCUGACACUGACGCUGAAGCGCGAAAGCUAGGGGAGCGAACGGGAUUAGAUACCCCGGUAGUCCUAGCCUUAAACGAUGAAUGCUUGGUGUCUGGGGUUUUAUAGUCCCCGGGUGCCGUCGCUAACGCUUUAAGCAUUCCGCCUGGGGAGUACGGUCGCAAGACUG
rnacentral:rRNA from 1 species